rnacentral:rRNA from 1 species
GACGAACGCUGGCGGCGUGCCUAAUACAUGCAAGUAGAACGCAGUUGCGAACGGGUGAGUAACGCGUAGGUAACUGCCUAAUAGCGGGGGAUAACUAUUGGAAACGAUAGCUAAUACCGCCUUCUGUGAGCUGGACCUGCGUUGGAGUAGGUAGUUGGUUAGGUAAAGGCUCACCAAGGCGACGAUACAUAGCCGACAUGAUAGGGUGAUCCGCCACACUGGGACUGGGACAAGGGCCAGACUUCUACGGGGGGCAGCAGGAGGGGAACUUGGGCAAUGGGCGGAAGUCUGAACGAGCAACGGCGCGUGAGUGAAGAAGGUUUUCGGGGCUGAAAGCUCUGUUGUUAGAGAAGCGGUAACUAAACAGAAAGCGACGGCUAACUACGUGCCAGCAGCCGCGGUAAUAC